rnacentral:lncRNA from 1 species
AUUUUGAAACAGGUGCUGAAUGAGUAGGAAAGACCUAGAAGGCUGCUUGACUUACUUAAGCCAGACCCUUUUGUUCUCUAGAGAAGCAUAAUUUUUCUCAUGCAGAAUGAUGGGAGAGGGUUUUAAGAUUUACGAGGCUUCACAGGGAGUCUGGCUGUGGUGUUCACUGUCCACUGUGUAUGUGUAGAGUCCUUACUGGAAUGCCUCAUCUUUAGCAAACUGGUUUCCUUGAUUUUUGUCUCCUGGUAAUUCUAAAUCACUUGUAAAAAUGGAGUAAUUAUGAAAGUGUUAAUGACAGAUGUCCUACUUUCUUGGGUACUCAUUACGCGGAAGUUAUUGCCUUGUGUCAAAGAUGGGAAAACAUUUGAUUUUAAUGAAGCCCUUUACAUGUCAGUUAUUUUUAUAAAGCUACAUUGCUUCUGAAUACAUUGUGUUUGGGAAUGAUGCUGUAUGUAUGUUUUUUCUUCAUAGGGCAAAUGUGAGAAACGAGUACAGGAUGUAAUUGAACGAUUUUGGGAUUUCAUUGACCAGCUGAGCAUCAAUACUUUUGGAAAGUUUUUAGCAGACAACAUCGUUGGGUCUGUCCUGGUUUUCUCCUUGAUAUUUUGGAUUCCUUUCAGCAUUCUUGUCCAUUGUGUGGAUAAGAAAUUGGAUAAACAGUAUGAAUCUCUGUCUCUGUUUCACCCCAGUGUAAGUAUACCAUAAGAAAGAAACAUAAUCUUCGCCUGGUCUGAGGCCCUGUUAGGCAAAGACCUUCACCUGACCCAGCAAGAGCUUUCACUGGCUGAUGGAAGGUCAUGUUGCAGCAGGAAGGGUCUAGGUUGGAAUGUUUACCCUUCUGACAGCAGUGAUGGUGAACUUCGAUUAGUUGCAUGGAUGGAGAUUUAAAGAGCUGUGCUGUCC